UACGUAGGGUGCGAGCGUUGUCCGGAAUUACUGGGCGUAAAGAGCUCGUAGGUGGUUUGUCGCGUUGUUCGUGAAAACUCACAGCUUAACUGUGGGCGUGCGGGCGAUACGGGCAGACUGGAGUACUGCAGGGGAGACUGGAAUUCCUGGUGUAGCGGUGGAAUGCGCAGAUAUCAGGAGGAACACCAGAGGCGAAAGCGAAUCACUGGACAGAACCCGACUCUGAGGCACGAAAGCUAGGGGAGCAAACGGG
rnacentral:rRNA from 1 species